rnacentral:rRNA from 1 species
GAUGAACGCUGGCGGCGUGCCUAAUACAUGCAAGUCGAGCGAACGGACGAGAAGCUUGCUUCUCUGAUGUUAGCGGCGGACGGGUGAGUAACACGUGGAUAACCUACCUAUAAGACUGGGAUAACUUCGGGAAACCGGAGCUAAUACCGGAUAAUAUUUUGAACCGCAUGGUUCAAAAGUGAAAGACGGUCUUGCUGUCACUUAUAGAUGGAUCCGCGCUGCAUUAGCUAGUUGGUAAGGUAACGGCUUACCAAGGCAACGAUGCAUAGCCGACCUGAGAGGGUGAUCGGCCACACUGGAACUGAGACACGGUCCAGACUCCUACGGGAGGCAGCAGUAGGGAAUCCUCCGCAAUGGGCGAAAGCCUGACGGAGCAACGCCGCGUGAGUGAUGAAGGUCUUCGGAUCGUAAAACUCUGUUAUUAGGGAAGAACAUAUGUGUAAGUAACUGUGCACAUCUUGACGGUACCUAAUCAGAAAUCCACGGCUAACUACGUGCCAGCAGCCGCGGUAAUACGUAGGUGGCAAGCGUUAUCCGGAAUUAUUGGGCGUAAAGCGCGCGUAGGCGGUUUUUUAAGUCUGAUGUGAAAGCCCACGGCUCAACCGUGGAGGGUCAUUGGAAACUGGAAAACUUGAGUGCAGAAGAGGAAAGUGGAAUUCCAUGUGUAGCGGUGAAAUGCGCAGAGAUAUGGAGGAACACCAGUGGCGAAGGCGACUUUCUGGUCUGUAACUGACGCUGAUGUGCGAAAGCGUGGGGAUCAAACAGGAUUAGAUACCCUGGUAGUCCACGCCGUAAACGAUGAGUGCUAAGUGUUAGGGGGUUUCCGCCCCUUAGUGCUGCAGCUAACGCAUUAAGCACUCCGCCUGGGGAGUACGACCGCAAGGUUGAAACUCAAAGGAAUUGACGGGGACCCGCACAAGCGGUGGAGCAUGUGGUUUAAUUCGAAGCAACGCGAAGAACCUUACCAAAUCUUGACAUCCUUUGACAACUCUAGAGAUAGAGCCUUCCCCUUCGGGGGACAAAGUGACAGGUGGUGCAUGGUUGUCGUCAGCUCGUGUCGUGAGAUGUUGGGUUAAGUCCCGCAACGAGCGCAACCCUUAAGCUUAGUUGCCAUCAUUAAGUUGGGCACUCUAAGUUGACUGCCGGUGACAAACCGGAGGAAGGUGGGGAUGACGUCAAAUCAUCAUGCCCCUUAUGAUUUGGGCUACACACGUGCUACAAUGGACAAUACAAAGGGCAGCGAAACCGCGAGGUCAAGCAAAUCCCAUAAAGUUGUUCUCAGUUCGGAUUGUAGUCUGCAACUCGACUACAUGAAGCUGGAAUCGCUAGUAAUCGUAAAUCAGCAUGCUACGGUGAAUACGUUCCCGGGUCU